UACGACGGGGGCUAGCGUUGCUCGGAAUCACUGGGCGUAAAGCGCACGUAGGCGGAUCUUUAAGUCAGGGGUGAAAUCCCAAGGCUCAACCUUGGAACUGCCUUUGAUACUGGGGAUCUCGAGUCCGGAAGAGGUGAGUGGUACUGCGAGUGUAGAGGUGAAAUUCGUAGAUAUUCGCAAGAACACCAGUGGCGAAGGCGGCUCACUGGUCCGGUACUGACGCUGAGGUGCGAAAGCGUGGGGAGCAAACAGG
rnacentral:rRNA from 1 species